GGAGGAAAAGAAACCAACUGGGAUUACCUUAGUAACGGCGAGUGAAGCGGUAAAAGCUCAAAUUUGAAAUCUGGUACUUUCAGUGCCCGAGUUGUAAUUUGUAGAAUUUGUCUUUGAUUAGGUCCUUGUCUAUGUUCCUUGGAACAGGACGUCAUAGAGGGUGAGAAUCCCGUUUGGCGAGGAUACCUUUUCUCUGUAAGACUUUUUCGAAGAGUCGAGUUGUUUGGGAAUGCAGCUCAAAGUGGGUGGUAAAUUCCAUCUAAAGCUAAAUAUUGGCGAGAGACCGAUAGCGAACAAGUACAGUGAUGGAAAGAUGAAAAGAACUUUGAAAAGAGAGUGAAAAAGUACGUGAAAUUGUUGAAAGGGAAGGGCAUUUGAUCAGACAUGGUGUUUUUUGCAUGCACUUGCCUCUCGUGGGCUUGGGCCUCUCAAAAAUUUCACUGGGCCAACAUCAAUUCUGGCAGUAGGAUAAAUCAUUAAGAAUGUAGCUACCUCGGUAGUGUUAUAGCUUAUUGGAAUACUGCUAGCUGGGAUUGAGGACUGCGCUUCGGCAAGGAUGUUGGCAUAAUGGUUAAAUGCCGCCCGUC
rnacentral:rRNA from 1 species